CUCGCGUUUCUCGGAGAGGUGCGGCGCUUGCGUGGUGACGGGCGUGGCUGCCUCCACCCGGGUCUAGCCUGCCUCUUGGAGAUUUUCUUUGCCUUGCUUUUCUGCUUUGGCGUUUACCCCUCUCACUCAGGGGUACCGCAGUUUGGAGCAUCUGGGAGGUUUAUUCAACUGUAGGCCAGCCCCCAGUUAAGUUCCUGGCGCUUUUGGACCUGAUUUUGUGACAGAUUGUUGGAAAAAGAAUUGUCAAAACUGAUAAUCGAUUUUGGAAGAAGUUGUAAGUCACACUGAAGGUACAGCAUAAACUGGAAAACAAGAUUUUGAUCCCUAAAAUGCCAAAGUGGCAGAGUGAUUUAUUAAACUUCUUAUCUGAAGAAGGUGAAAACAGACACAGAAAAUAAUGACAGGAAUGAAAAUUAUGGGGCAUCUAAGCUAAUGGAAACAAAUUUCAAAAUUGUUAAAUGGCCAAUCCUUGAAAAAAAUCAAGUUCAUCAGAGGAAGAAGUAGGUAAUCUUGUGCUUCCGGGUUAUUAGAAAGAAAAACACACAUUUACAUUUACAGAACAGAACAAAUGGCUUGAAAUAAAAAAAUGUAAAUUGGGAUGUAAAGACUGUUUGAUAGUUCAGCAUUUAGGAGUGACAGCAGAAAAAGCACACUGGUGUGUCCAAGUAAUGGAGAACAUAUUUAGUAGCCCCAAAUGACACUAAUGAAACUACUAGGCAGACUUCUCUGUGAAAAAAAAAAAUUAGAGAACAUAAUGUUUCUUAAGACUGUACUAAAAAUAAAGAUUUGUUAGAAAAAUCAACUAGCGACUCAAUUUACAAGUUAGUGUAUAAUCUAAAUAAUAAAAAUAUCGAUGCUAUCAUAAAAGGUUUUUUUAGGUGUUUAAUAUGCAGUUUGCAAAUCAGGGUAACAUUUUAACUAGGGAGUCAGAAUAAUUCAAAGAAAAAAAAUCUUUUACAGAUGCUUAUACUCCAGUUUAUUGCAAGUAAUUAUACAUUGCCAUGGAAACCAGGUCAGAACAAUGUUUACAUAAUAACCCAUGGACACGCAACAUUAUCUUGAAAAACCAUUCGGGUAAUUACUGGUUUACCCUAACACACAGCUCUAGUUUGAGCUUUGGAGUUUCUGUUGUUGAAGCUGCACAUAGAUAAUUCUUCAAAAGAGCACAAUACCCCAGGCAAAACAUUCUUUUACUGAUUAACCUAGGCUAUUGUUUGACUUAAGCCAGUUUUCUCAAGGCUCAAGGUUCAAAGAUUAUUUCAGGAGGAUAGCUAGGGCGGGUCACCUCAACCUCCAUGGAACCCAGAAAUCUGGAUUCUGUGAGAAUUAAAAACUUAAUUCUUCAGUUUCCACCUUUUAGUCAGGAUUCUGCUAUAGAAUGUUUGAUCAAAAAUGUUCAGUAAUGGUAGCUGAGCACCAUCCAGCUCUCUUCAGGUCUCCUGGCAAAGGUGACAGUUGUUAAUGAAGACAAUCAGACUUGGAGUCUAGUUCCUUCUCCACCUGGCUGUCCCAUUUCUCUGCUGCUCCAGAUGAAUAGACCCCAAUUGUUGCACCUUGGAUGGCUGCUUACAAACUUUUAAGACCCCAGACAGUACACAGUGAACUAGGAGGUAGAACAGAAACACUAAGAACAGUAUUAGGCCAAUUGAAUGAAAUGCCCCAAGAAACCAUGACCCUAAACCUUUCAACCAAGAAAACAAAUCCCAUGAGGUGUUGGUUAUACAUAAGUAGCAUCAGUAACUGCUUUUCAUAUCAUAAAAGUUUUUAGUACUGUUUAUAGUUUUUUUUUUAUAGUUUAGUAAAAUAUAAUAGUGAUAGUGAGGGGGACAAUGGUGUUAAAAGAGAAAAAUGGAGUAAAUAUAGGUAAUGAUUUAUAUACGUGAUACAAAUAACAGCACAUAUUACAAAAGAAAUUAAUAUGAAGAUAUUUAAGAGUAUUAUAGAAGAGAAUACCAAACUCUGUGUCAUAAUUGAUGAAACAUCUAUACUUUUGAGGAAAAGCAUAUAGGAAUUUAUCUCCAGUGCACAGUUCAAUCUGCUUCUGUACUGGUAAUGGUAUUUGUUCUUCUAAAAAAAUCUCGGUGUCAGCUACAACAGAAUGUAUUUCCAUUACUUCAUUGUCUACUUUCAAUGAUCGUGGCUUUACUAAUGAAUAUUCAAAAGCGUUUUGUUCAAAUCAUGCUUCUACAGUACUGGGAAGGAAGUCUGAAGUAGCUACAAAAUUGUUAGAAAAUUUUCCUAAGGUCAUCAUUUGGCACAGUUUAAAUUAUUGAUUGCAGUUCAAUGUCUGAAAUAAGUCAUUCAUUUAAAAAUAUUCCAGAUAAAAUGUAUUCUAUUUACCACCAAUCUAAUAAAAAUAAAACUGAAUGGAUACCACCUCACCCCUAUUAGAAUGGCAAUGAUUUAAAAAGAAUGGAAAACAGUGGGGGUUGGUGAGGUUGUGGAGAAACUGGAACCCUCAUCCAUUGCCAGUGGGAAUGUGAAAUGGUACAGCCACCGUAGAAAACAGUUUGGCAGUUCCUCAAAAAAUUGAACAUAGAAGUACUACCAUAUGACCCAGUGUUUUAGUUUCUUAGUGCUGCUGUAACAGAAAUACAAGUGGGUGGCUUUAUGCACAGAAACUUAUUUCAUCGCAGUUUAGAAGGCUAGAAGUCCAAAUUCAGGGCGCCGGCUCUAAAGGAAGUCUCCCCGUCCUGGGAAAAAAUAAUUUUCUCUUUCAGCUUUUCUUCCUCAGUUCCUUGGUGAUCUCUACGUGGCACUUGUGCUUGCUUGCUUCUGUGCUUAAUUUGCUCCUUUUAUAUCUCAAGAGUGAUUGGCUUAAAACACCCCAAUGCU